AACUGAGGUGCCUGAGUGGCAGAGCUGGGAUUGGAAAGCAACGUAGUGGAUCCCAGAGUCAACAUUCCGUUUUUGCGGGGUGGGGGUUGGAGGAGUUGGGAGGUCUUACUAUAUUGCCCAGGCUGGUCUCGAAUUCCCAUAGGCUCAAGCGAUCCUCCCGAGUGCGGAGAUUACAGGUGUGCGCCACGGCGCCCGGCUCCAAAGUCAACGUUCUUAACGUCUGCCUUACACUGUCUCCAUGUUCUUACCUUUCAUCCAUUUUCUCUGGCUCAUCAUCUUGUCCAUUUCCCUUCUCAGGGUCACCACCUCCCUCAGACGUUUCUGGGACAGAUCCAAGCCAGCAGAGCAGCUGCUCGCUCCAGAGCCGUGGUGUCUUCCUGGUGCAUCAGCGCCACCGCGUGGCAAAACAGGGCAACUGUAGGAAUCGACUUUCCAUCUAUUUGGAGCUCAUCAGUGCUUUUCUUUUAGACUCAUAUGGCAGGAACAAGAAGUGCACAUGCCAAAAGAAAGGCAGAGGACUGCAGGAGCAAGACGGGUUGCAAGGGGCGUGAUGACUAGCACAAUCCUGGCCCCUCUUCUUCCAGCAUUAUAAAGACACAGUAGAAUAAUAGUGCAUGAGUUAUUGUGACAGUAGCACUUUUCAAAAAUAUAUAGCAUUGUGGAAACAGACGCCUCCAAAUAUAUAUUCCUCACUGCAAUAAAUGUCUAUGUAAGAGUAAUAUCUAAAUCUGGUUACGUAUGUG
rnacentral:lncRNA from 1 species